rnacentral:rRNA from 1 species
GUAGGGAAUCUUCCACAAUGGACGAAAGUCUGAUGGAGCAAUGCCGCGUGAGUGAAGAAGGGUUUCGGCUCGUAAAACUCUGUUGUUGAAGAAGAACGAACGUGAGAGUAACUGUUCACGUUGUGACGGUAUUCAACCAGAAAGCCACGGCUAACUACGUGCCAGCAGCCGCGGUAAUACGUAGGUGGCAAGCGUUGUCCGGAUUUAUUGGGCGUAAAGCGAGCGCAGGCGGUUUUUUAAGUCUGAUGUGAAAGCCUUCGGCUUAACCGGAGAAGUGCAUCGGAAACUGGGAGACUUGAGUGCAGAAGAGGACAGUGGAACUCCAUGUGUAGCGGUGGAAUGCGUAGAUAUAUGGAAGAACACCAGUGGCGAAGGCGGCUGUCUAGUCUGUAACUGACGCUGAGGCUCGAAAGCAUGGGUAGCAAACAGGAUUAGAAACCCCGGUAGUCC